UAGGCGGCGGCGGUGGAUCGGGACGAUGUGGUGGGCAGCGGGUGGAUCGGGGGAGUUGGGGAGAGGUACGGUAGUGGGGUAGGUGGGUUGGAUUUUUUAUUCAGUGCACCGUGAUUUAAAUAGUUAUUCUAAUUCUGGUAUUAGAAUAGUCCUACUCUCUCAGCACUAUUUUGAUCCUGGGAUCAGAAUAGUUAUUUGGAUCACGACGCGCGGCCGAACAGGUGUUCCUGAGAUCUAAAGGCAGCGCCAGACCGGCCCAUUAACACGUUCUCAGACGGCCUAAAAAUCCACCCACGACCUUCCUAUGCUCCCCCGUCCUCCUCCCGUGGCCUCGCCGCCGGCCUCCUCCCGUGGCCCCGCCGCCGGCCUCAUCCCGCGGAUGCGCCGCCGGCCUGCCGGGAUCGAGCAUGCCCCCAAGAUCGCCCCUGGCCUGGUUCUUCUGCCGUCCCCGUCCCCUUCCCCACCCCCGCCCCCCAGAUCGCGCCGCGCGCCGCCCCUGACCUCCGGCCGGAACCCCGCCCCUCCCCGCCGCCGAGGUCCGACCCCCAGGGGCCCAGCCAAGAUGGUCUGCCGCUGGCUAGGUCCGCCGCUACAGGAUCUCCCAACUGCUCCUCCCGGUGACGUCGCCCUCCACAUGCGCCUCCUCGCUGCUCCAACCCAGCCACGAGCACCAGAUCUUCAGAGUCAUGGCCUGCACGUGUGGGCAUGGGCACGUCGCAUGUUCAGGCUCCUUCUGAACUCCUCGCGUCUCCUUCGUCUUCGACCAACAACAGCGACCCCGUUUUAGUUCCUCUUUGAAACAGCAGCAGCCACGCUAGAAGUUCAGAAUUGCAGAUGGCGACGUCCAACUUCGGUUGUGGAUGCAUCGUCUCUUGUGGAAGAAGGGCAAGUCUGUAGACCUUGUAGAAGACAAGUGACUGAAAAUGGUAUUACAUGGUGCCGCCACCCUGGACCACCUGCUCCCGCGCAUGAGCAAGCAACCAAUGCGCCGAUGCCUAGCAGUGUACAAAUCUUCUGAUUUCUUGCAGCAGUUCAAUGUACUCCCUCCGUCCCAUAAUAUAAGAACGUUUUUGAUACCAGUGUAGUGUUAAAAAUGUUCUUAUAUUUUGGGACAGAGGGAGUAUAUUAGAGUAGAAAGAAGAAAAACAAUAGUAUGUUGCAGAUGUGGUGCUUGUGAUUGUUGUAGGCAUGCAACAGUUUAGAUUGUAGGGUCAAUGAAAAAU